rnacentral:piRNA from 1 species
UAGAAACCCUGACUAAGACAAAUUGAUA